AGUAAACAAGACUGAAGCCCAUUUGAAGCCAUGAAUAAAAAACAGAAUCAGUUGCUAAACCCUGCAGCCUUGAACCUGUACCCAUUAUGGGACCUGAAUUCCUAUAUGGACACAAAGAGUAUGAAAAUUCCAAGCCCAGAACUUGAGCAAACACUGAAAUGAGGCUCUUGCCUUUCCCAGGGCUCCACAGAGGAGGAAAAAAAAGAGCUAAGAAGAAUAGCAAAAGACAAACCUGAAGUCUUUCAAAACUUUAAGGAGAAAUUCAAGAAGAAGCCAAAUUGUGAUGUCAUCCACACACAUGAAAAAUUAUAUGGCAAAUUUUACUUAACAUUAUAAAUGGCUUCAAGUUUUAAAGAUGC
rnacentral:lncRNA from 1 species